rnacentral:rRNA from 1 species
GCUUGCUUUUUUGCUGACGAGUGGCGGACGGGUGAGUAAUGUCUGGGAAACUGCCUGAUGGAGGGGGAUAACUACUGGAAACGGUAGCUAAUACCGCAUAACGUCGCAAGACCAAAGAGGGGGACCUUCGGGCCUCUUGCCAUCGGAUGUGCCCAGAUGGGAUUAGCUAGUAGGUGGGGUAACGGCUCACCUAGGCGACGAUCCCUAGCUGGUCUGAGAGGAUGACCAGCCACACUGGAACUGAGACACGGUCCAGACUCCUACGGGAGGCAGCAGUGGGGAAUAUUGCACAAUGGGCGCAAGCCUGAUGCAGCCAUGCCGCGUGUAUGAAGAAGGCCUUCGGGUUGUAAAGUACUUUCAGCGGGGAGGAAGGGAGUAAAGUUAAUACCUUUGCUCAUUGACGUUACCCGCAGAAGAAGCACCGGCUAACUCCGUGCCAGCAGCCGCGGUAAUACGGAGGGUGCAAGCGUUAAUCGGAAUUACUGGGCGUAAAGCGCACGC